CUCACUCUUCUCCUGCAGCGACUCAACUCUCCUCUAACCUCUUCUCUUCGUUUCCUCAGUUCCAGAUUCUCUCCUCUCCUCUCUGCACUCAUCUCUCCUCGCCGGGGACAACCACCAUUUUUUCCACCAGAAAUCCACGGAGCUCCUCUCCUCUCCUCGUUCCUCUUCUAAAAAAACCUAAGAAAAUCAGACGAUGGAGGUGCGACGGUGGUGUGCGGCUGCUACAUCGAUCUUGCCCCCGAUCUCUCUUCGUCCUCACACUUGCCAACGAUCUCUCCUCUCAGUCACCGGAGAUGUCAAGAAAACCCAUCGUUUUCGUUUCUUUGAGAUUAUGUGAAUGGUGAAUGCUAUUCAUAAGCUUUCAGGAAUUAUUUGUAAUUGUCCCAUGCCAAACUUUUGUAUCUGCUCGGUGGCUUUCAGGACAUCGCUGAGUGGCUUACUGCCUUACCAUGAAUAUGGCCCCAGUGCUGUUGCUAGAGAUAUUCAACUGAUGAUGAAUCUAAUUGUAUAGUGCCUUCAAGUUUGAACGGUGUUCCUUGGCCCUGUUUUAUGCUGGGAUGGCCUGCUAGUGGCUCUUGUUGGCUGAGUAUUGUGUAAAUAAGUUGCUUUGUAGGACAUUUUAUUUGCAUGAUUUAGUCGACUCUAGAGUAGACCAGUUUCAUUAGGUCUGGCUUAAUAAUAUCAGGUUAACUGCAGUAUGAAUUUUUCA